CACCAAUACCUAGCCGCCCUCCCUCACGCCGCAUCUCCUCUGCCGGCCACUGAGUUCACCCCGACGAUGAGACCGAGCGUUCAGGUUCGACGUUGCCGAUCCCGGCCAGCGCGCCUCACCAACAUCCUGCUGUCCAACUACCAGGAGCACCGCCGCCUCCAGUUCGACUUCGUUGUCCACGACCGCCUCCCAUCUCCAUCCUGACUCCUGCCUAAGUCCCCAUCCACUGAUCCACCUGCCUCCUUGCCAAUUCCUUUGCAUCCCGACCUCCUCGUUGAACCCUAGCACAAGUCCUGCAGCCGCCGCCCUUCUCGUGUCCCCGGCUCCCCGCCCCAGCCACCCUCCCUCAGUCGUCUGAGCGGAUCGCUGAGCGGAGCGCCUCCUCACAUCCGGAUGACCUCCAUCUCGAGGUUCGGCCUCCUCAAAGUUCGGCCCUUCUCCAGCAAAAGCUCCGCCCCGAGCAACCCCAAGUGGACGACCUCCUCCUUCUGGAGAUCCAUCCCCGAUCUUGGCCGGUCUGAUCCUCACUAAGGGAUGCGGCGAUGGAGCUGCGCUCCAAUGAUAGUAUCAGCAACAGAGUGAACAUGCUUCAGUUUGCUGCCCCGCGCAUGGACUGAGAUCCUCCUACCCAUUGUCUCCCCAACGCUAGGGCAUUCUACAUCUUUAUGUUCUACAUGUCCAAGUCGUCUAAGAGGAACCAGGGUAUUCUAAAUCGCAGGCAGGAUGGACGCUACAAUGGCAAUCACAAGCAGGUUCUUGUUCCCUUGUGGCCAUUUUAUUCAUAUCUGGUUGUUGUUCCUGUACAUUAAAGAAGAUUGCAUGUGAACUUGUUUGUGCACUUUUUUAUUUUGCGUAGACAAGGUGUUUGAUGGAGGUGCUAGGUUAAAAUAAUAUGAAAUCUGUAUUCACCACUCAAAACAAUUAUCCGAAACUAACAAAUCUGGCUCACUUGCGGUUAGUUCGUGAGGUCGAAGCCAGCGGAGGAAUGUAUCUGCAAUUCUGCAUGUGAUUCUCGUGAAUAAAUGGGCUAUAGCUAUGAUGCGAUGAAGAGUUAUGGCAUUGCGUUGGCUGCGCACAAACAUACACAAGUUGCUGAUAUGAUUAUGGAAAGACCAAAUUUCUUCUACUGUCCCUUUCUGACAAUAUUUUUGUUCUACUGUCCUAAAGACAACAAAAAUUACUAAUUCAAGAUUCCCAGAUGUUUUGACUUCGGACUUGUUGCAUAGUUGUUCUGAUGUCCGAAUAAAAAGUCUUUGUAAUGCAUGUUAGAGUUAUAAGUAAAAAAGGUUACGAUUUUUUAUCUGAUUAGGUUUGAAGAUUAAGAACAUGAAAUUUAAGCUGUAGAAAUAUAACUCGAGGUAAUUUUAUCUCCAUGAUCCUCCUAUGAUCUUGAUGUGAUUGAUUUGGUUAUUGGUUUCAGGGCUGCAGAGGAUGCAAUUUGUUCAUUCAUGAUCUGGUAGUACAAGCAAUUUGCACGAGUCAACUGCAUAUUAAUAUCAAUGAUAUAUCUCCUUUGCACUGAAAUUCAUGAUAUUCAGAUUUUAUCUAUCGAUUAUUGUUGAAAUUACAUAAGUUUUUUAGUCAAAUUAGUAGUAAAUAAUUAUGUCAACUUACAAUCACGAUCCUAGACAUGUGCGAAAAUAUACAUUGCAUUUUGUUCCCGUAGCAUGUAUAUUCAGAGCGUCCAUAGUUGAUUGGCAUAAUGUGCUUUCAUUCCAUGCAUAUUCCUAAACUCCUAAUUAUUUUUACGCAUUAGUUGCACUUGUAAUUUUAUCAUUUUUAUUAUCCACUUUCAUCAGUCUUACUCUAUAUAAAAUAAAAACCUCACUCAUUUUACUAGAAAAGGUCUCCUAGGUAAUACACUUCACCUCAAUGAUUAUUUUUCAGAAAUUGAUCCCAAAGUGCGACAGGAGGUCUGGCGCGCUCUGGACUUCCCCACCGAAACGAUCACUGCUGAUGCCUUCAUUGGAGAUGACCAUCUUGAAGCUCCUCCUAGCGAUAGAGUCUAGCAUCCUGGCUGGCGUUGUAGCGCGGCUCCCCCCAGACCCGUGGUGUUCGGCGGUGGGACUACGAGGCGCAACUAUAUGAGCUGAGCACAAGCCCUGCCCCAGAGCCAUUAUUCUCCUAUUUCCCAUCUCAAGAGUGAUCUGACUUGAUUAGUACUUCAGCUUCGAAUACAGACAUGUCUCAGUUCAGUUGCAGCUAUGUAUGCAUUACUUGCAAGAUCAUAGGUGGAGGUUACUGAAAGAACAAAGAAAUGAUUGUUCUACUUAUUCAGGCCUUGACCUUGGAGAGUCCAAGAUGACCUCGGAUGCCACUGGCAGUCAGACAUCAUUGGCUGUUUGGAACAUUCCACUUUACAAUGCUAAUGGAGAUGCAUCUGAAACGACAUACAUUUUUAUGAGAUCAUUCCUAAGAAUAUAUGGAUACACAUUCAAAUCAGGAGAAUUUGCUUCAAAAGAUACAAGAGUUUUGUCUUGAAUUGUGUGACUAAUUUACAUGAGCUUCAGGUACUUUUGUUGGAUAGAUUCUAGGGAAGAAGAAUGGUGAAGCAAGCUUUGUAUCUAUAUGGGUACGAGACGAAUACACAAGUAUUCUUGUUCAUGAUUCUUGCACUUUCCAUAGUCGACAACAAAACCUUUUUUACUUACAUAAUGGAAGUGUGGAUAGUUACCUUCCUCCAAAAAAUGGCUAAAAUGGUGAGAAGUUCAUGCUAGAGAGAGACACGUGAUGGAGUGGAAAGAAUAAAAACAAAAUAACAGGAAUCAAAUCAACUGUCUACAUGUCUAAAAACAUCGAUGUUUGCUGGUUUAUUUGGCAAAGAAAAAGUAGGGUGUUAUAUAAGUGUGUGGCCAGUCUUUCCUAUGCAUGUGCUUUUAGUUUUAUGGCACAAGAAAGCCGAGUGUUUGAACAAGCCAUCUGAUAAAUCUUCCGCCUACCCUACAAAAAGAGGAGUUACAAUACAAUGCCACUUACGGGAAAAGAGAAAUGAGGAAUAAUGGUUUUAGAAUAAACUGUUGUAUGCAUUGUCUGUUAAUGUGGAUUUGUGUAUAUGCUACUUAUUAUUUACUUAUUAAAACCAGUGCACACAAAAAAGACACACUAUAUUUCUUUCUUGCUACUUCACAUUCCGCAUUCUUUUGCAAUUACUGAGUCGGCGCCGAUUUAGGAUUAACAAAGUCAUUCUUGUUAUUGACGCACUUACACACUAAAAGUACCGCUAAUAUGACAUGGACGAAAAGGGUAAUAAUAGAUAGAGAGAACACAUGUUGUUGGUCCUCAGAAGGUUAGUGAUAGAUAUAAAAAUGACAUUGUAUAGGAUGGGGUAUUAAAAAAUUUCAAGUCAUCGUGCUUGCGAUGCCGACAACAUGAAAUCAUUUUUCUCCAUGGAAACACACGAACAUUUAACUAUGAAUAUCAAAGUGUUGUUUGGAUUAAUCAGAAAAGAAGUAUUCUUCAGGUAUACUUGUGUUUGCAGCAUCCUCAUUUUGUGAGACAAUAAUACAUUCAAAAGAAGUGGUUGUUAAGUUGACAUCUUUGUCGGCUUGGAACAUAGGUGUGAGACUUACCAUGGAAAAGUAAUUAACAAGAAGAUCUAGAACUUGAAACCACACACAUGUACAACAAUGUUGUCUUGUUAUUGCGUUCGGUAUUAUCAUAUUGUAAUACAUUAUGAUAUUCUUAAUUUAUUUUAAAUUUUAUAAUGAGUUGUGAAUUAUAUAUGUGCAGUGAGAAAUAAAAUUUUAGGACCCGUGGCAACGCACGGGCAUUUGU